CACAAAAGAAGACGGCAACGCAAGCAAUUCUGCAAGUCGAGACGAGUUUGUUUUCGACUGAAUGCCGAACUACCAGUCCUCUGAAAAUGGCUAAACUACAGUCUUUGAUUGUGUUUGUUAAUGAACGUUUAGCAGUGGCUGCAGUGGAGAUUUUAGACGUUGUAGAGAAAGUGGUCGCCGAGUACCAGGAGGAGAUUUCCAGAUCUGAAGAGGAGAAUGACCGGCUACGGAGACUAAUGCGGAUCACACCAGAAAUAAAACUACGUAGAAUAGACUCCCUCCACUUCUCUCUCGCUGUCUCUGAGGAGGAGGUUAUCCCUGAGCAGCAGCACUGUAAGCAGGAAUGGAGCCCCAGUCUGGAGGACCCAGCUCCCAUUCAGGUUAAAAAGGAACAGGAGGAUCUCAGGACCAGUCAGGAGGUUGGGAAGAUUCAAGGGCUAGAGGCUGACACCGUAUAGUUCAUAUACACUCCUCCCUGUGUGAAAAGUGAAUGUGAUCAGGAGGAUCAACUUCAGUCCUUGACUCUUCCCCAAACGGGGAAGCACAGAGAGAGUGACCCUAAACCAGUGAUUGUCAAUCCACUGAAGAUGUCUAAACAGUCUUUGAGUGUGUUCGCUAGUGAGCGUUUAACUGUGGCUGCAGUAGAGAUUUUGGGAGUAAUAGAGAAAGUGGUAGAGGAGUACCAGGUGGAGAUUUCCCAAUUUAAAGAGGAGAAUGACCGGCGAGGGAGACUGCUGCGGAUCACACCCGGAAUAAAACGAUGUAGAAUAGACCCCCUCCAGUUCUCUCCCGCUUUCUCUGAGGAAGAGGGCCCCACCCCCGAGCAGCAACACUGUGAGCAGGAGUGGAGCCCCUGUCUGGGGCAGGAGGACACAGCGCCCACACAGAUUAAAGAGGAACAGGAGGAAAUCAGGACCAGUCAGGACGUAGGGCAGCUUCAGGAACAGGAGGCUGACAUCAUAGAGUUCAUAUUCACUCCUCCUUGUGUGAAAAGGGAAUGUGAUCAGGAGGAUCAACUUCAGUCCUUGACUCUUCCCCAAACGGUGGAGUACAGAGGGACUGACUCUAAACCAGUGAAUCUCAAACCUUUUGUCACUGUGACCCACCUUGACAAUCCCUGUGACCCUCCAGAUAAUCAAGACAAUGCCUCCUGCCACAGAUCAGCCGCAAGCAGCGAUCCAGUAGGACUUGACAUCAGCCGACCAUUGGAUCCCAACCCACCAUUGAAGAAACCCAGCACCACGUCUAAAAAACCUCUCACCGGGAAAAGAUUGAAUUGCAAGGGGAUCCUAAGCAGGCACAUACAGACUCAUACAGGAGAGAAACCCUUUAGCUGUGGUAACUGUGAGAAAAGCUUCAAUCGCAAGGGGACCCUAAAUGAGCAUAUAAAGACUCAUACAGGAGAGACACCAUUUAGCUGUGAUGUCUGCGGGAAGAGCUUCAGACACAAGAAGAACCUAACUGAGCAUAUCCGGAGUCACACCGGAGUGAAACCAUUUAGCUGUGGGACAAGCUUCAAUCAAAAGGUUUCUCUUAAAAGGCAUGUACUGACUCACACAGGGGAGAAGUCGUUUGUUUGUGGGAACUGUGGGAAAAGCUUUAGACACAAGGGGACCCUAACUGCGCAUCUACUGACUCAUACAGGAGAGAAACCAUUUAGCUGUGGUGACUGCGGGAAAAGCUUCAGACAGAAGGUUACCCUUAACAGGCAUAUAUGGGCUCAUACAGGGGAGAAACCAUUUAGCUGUUGCGACUGUGGGAAAAGUUUCAAGCAUAAGGGAGACCUAACCAAACAUGCACUGAUUCACACAGGAGAGAAGCCAUUUAGCUGUGAUGACUGCGGGAAAAGUUUCAACAAGAAGGGGAACCUAACUGUUUAUUUACUGACACACACAGGAGAAAAAACUUUUAAUUGUGUUGACUGCGGGAAAAGCUUCAGACUCCUAGAAAACUCCCAGAAAACCUACCUGUGCAUUUGCAGACUCACAAAGGUACAGGAGAGAAACCAUUUCGCAGUGGUGACUGUGGGAUAAGCCUCAGACACUAAUUGAACCUGGACAGUAAUAUAUAGAACAUCAACAAAGAAAGAAAACAGUGAAAAAUUUGGAUAAAAUAAAGGCAAGGAAGACAGAGAUCAUGGGAGUAUCAGGAGAUGGGAAUAAGAAGGCUGGAUAUGGACAACUCUGUUAGGAAAGCAAAGCAACUCUGGAUCAUUCAUGUUGUAGGUUUAAGAUAAAUAUACUGUAUGUGUGAUUCAUUUAGUUUUAUAAAAUGAGUGAGAUUUAGUUUCAUGGUCAAAGAGUACAGAGUAUUGUAGGAAACCAGUCCUGGGGCCUGUUGCACAAAAGUAGAAUUAAGACAUCCGGGAUAAAUGACUCAGCUGAGCUCAAUGAAGCCAAAACAUGUGCGUCCAGGCUUAAUUGGUUGCACAAAGACCAAGCCAGGAUGAGCAGACACGGAUUCAUUAAGCCAGGUGAAACCAAUCCUGGAUAGGUGCGCGCUCACGGCUCACUCAAAUAGACCCCGCCACAGAUCACAGAUUAACUGAUUUACCAUGGCAACUAGAGCCGCGUACUUUUCCCCGUCGGAAGCACAAAUCCUCAUGGAGGCAUACGAGGAGGUAAAAGAUAUAAUUAAGAAGAAAGGCAACACCGCCACAGUGAUAAAGCAAAGAGAAAAAGCGUGGCAAAGUAUUGCAGACCGCCUGAAUGCGUAAGUAGUGCACAAUUACACAGUCACCGCUCCGCUGAAACAUCACAAUUACAAUUCAAAUAUUUAAUUCACAUCUCCAAAAAUGCAGUUGUACUGUAAUUAUGAAACGGUUAAAUUUUUAAUUGAAAUGCACUGCAGAUAUGAGUGAAAUUGUGUAAAGUAACUCCAUCACACUGUAUAAAGCUAUGAUACAUUUUUUGAUAUUUUUACUGAAAACAAGACAAAAAUACCAAGUAAUUUUUUGCAGUGUGACUCCAUUAAGUGUGUGUGUGUGUAGAUUAAACAUGAACGGGCCAAAACGGACAUGGCAGCAGGUCAAAAUCAAAUACAAGAACAUUCUGCAGAAUGCAGUGAAAAAGAAUACCCACAGACAAGGCACGGGUGGUGGGUCACCAAAGGCUGACCUUACCCCAGCAGAGGACAUGGCCUUGGAGCUAAAUAAAGGCAGGCCCGUCUUAGAGGGGAUCCCUGGGGGGAAAGAGACGAGCAUAGGUUCCUCCCAAGAUGCCACCCGCUUCAUUCAAGUGUCUGGCAGCACUGUGUUCCUGUUAGAGCCACCAGCACAAGCACCAGACGAUGCUGAUCCAGGUGAAGGCCCCAGUGCAGCAGCAACAGCACAUGAUGGAGACGAUGAUGAUGAGGAGGAGACCAUCUCUCUGGAUUCCAGAAGGCAUGAGGACCCAGAUGCUAUACAGUGGGAAAACCAGCCUGGCAACAUAGUGCGUAUUAAUAAAAGGACACCACAUCCUGCCAAAUUCCAGCUGCGCUAAUUGUAUUGUGUUCACAGAGCUCACAAGCUAUCAGAAAGUUGUAUGGCAACCACCUCCGGCGCCAAAUAGAACUGGCAGACAUAGACAUUCAGUACAAGAAGAAAAAGAUGGAAAAUCUUGCACUGGAGUCCGAAAUAAAAAAGAGGACAAUUAGGAAACUGGACCUUGAAAUAAAAAAAACUUGAGAGGGAGCUCCAAGAAGAUGACACAGCUCAAAAUAAAAAUUAGCAAUCAGUACAACCAAGUCAUCGUUAUAAGGCAUCGCCCUCUUUUGCCCACCCCCCCAGCACCAGGUGUGGCCACUAGCCUAUAUGAAGGCCCAAAAUUGUGUGUUCCUUUCUGCUCUGACAAUGGCAUGCCCAUUCGUGCGAGAUGUGGUGGAUGAAGAAGCACUUGUGCUGAGGAGAGCCUUCAGGCGAGAAAGGGUCUUCAGGGACCGGUUGGACCCACUGGCCUUCCCUGAUGACCAUCUAUAUGAAAGAUACAGGUUUUCUGCAGAUGGCAUCAGGUAUCUAUGCAGACUACUGGGUCCCAGGAUUAAGCACCGCACUGCACGGAGCCAUGCACUGAGUGUGGAGCAAAUGGUUUGUGUGGCCUUGCGCUUUUUUGCUAGUGGAGCCUUCCUGUACUCAGUGGGGGAUGCAGAACAGCUGAACAAGGCCACAAUUUGCCGCACAAUAAGGAGUGUGUGUCUGGCUAUCAAAGCAUUAGCAGAUGUCUUCAUCUCCUUCCCUGGCCACAGAAGACUCUGUGACAUCAAAGAGGAGUUCUAUAGGAUUGCAGAUGGUCUGCAAUGCUGACUGUGAUCAGCAAUGUUGUGGCAAAAUGGCCUGGCUCAGUCCAUGACUCCAGAAUCUUUCGGGCCUCUGAAAUCUAUCAGUGCCUAUCACAAGGUGAAUUCUCUGGUGUGUUGCUGGGAGACAGGGGGUAUGGCUGCCAGCCUUUUCUCCUGACACCUUUCACAGACCCCCAGGAAGCACAGCAGGCCUACAACCAUGCCCAUGCCAGGACCAGGGCCAGAGUUGAAAUGACCUUUGGCCUCCUGAAGGCACGCUUUCACUGCCUUCACAAAUUAAGGGUCAGCCCUGUUAGGGCAUGUGAUAUUACUGUGGCUUGUGCUGUCCUCCACAAUGUGGCCUGCCUGAGGAAGGAGAGGGCCCCCAGAGUGCCACCAGCCAUGGACUGGGACAAUCCGGCAAUCUUCCCUGAUGACGACAGUGGUCGGCUGCUGAGGGACCAAUAUGUGUUGAAUUAUUUUAGUUAGUAUGUGUGCUUUCAAUUUUGGUUAAAUAUGUCCUGCGGUGGCAGAGGAAUUUGGGUUUUUUUGGGUUCGUUUUUUUUACGAAUUUGGCCUCUUAUGAUGUUUGUGCGGUAUACUGUGUGUAAUACAAGGCUGCAGGGAGGCUACUGCAUCCAUUCAUUUGUCUGUUCAGUUGAUGUGUAUGGAUUUGUCCUGCAUUUAUUUUAGUGUGCAGACAUGCAGGGUGUGUUAUAUACAGACCUUUGAAUGUGUAUGUAUCAUUUUGUAUAAUAUGCUUGGAUUCUGUGCUUUCCAUCUUGUAGAGUCACUGUGACUUCAGUUUUGAAAGGAGCUGAUGGUUUACCUGCUUUGUUUUGUCCUUAUUCAAUAAAGGAACAUAAUGUUACACAUUGUGUUUUUAUAUUCA